GACGAACGCUGGCGGCGUGCUUAACACAUGCAAGUCGAACGGAAAGGCCCUGCUUUUGUGGGGUGCUCGAGUGGCGAACGGGUGAGUAACACGUGAGUAACCUGCCCUUGACUUUGGGAUAACUUCAGGAAACUGGGGCUAAUACCGGAUAGGAGCUCCUGCUGCAUGGUGGGGGUUGGAAAGUUUCGGCGGUUGGGGAUGGACUCGCGGCUUAUCAGCUUGUUGGUGGGGUAGUGGCUUACCAAGGCUUUGACGGGUAGCCGGCCUGAGAGGGUGACCGGCCACAUUGGGACUGAGAUACGGCCCAGACUCUACGGGAGGCAGCAGUGGGGAAUAUUGCACAAUGGGCGGAAGCCUGAUGCAGCAACGCCGCGUGCGGGAUGACGGCCUUCGGGUUGUAAACCGCUUUCGCCUGUGACGAAGCGUGAGUGACGGUAAUGGGUAAAGAAGCACCGGCUAACUACGUG
rnacentral:rRNA from 1 species